UACGAAGGGGGCUAGCGUUGCUCGGAAUGACUGGGCGUAAAGGGCGCGUAGGCGGCUUGCACAGUCAGGCGUGAAAUUCCUGGGCUCAACCUGGGGACUGCGCUUGAGACGUGUGGGCUUGAGUGGGGAAGAGGGUCGUGGAAUUCCCAGUGUAGAGGUGAAAUUCGUAGAUAUUGGGAAGAACACCGGUGGCGAAGGCGGCGACCUGGUCCUUGACUGACGCUGAGGUGCGAAAGCGUGGGGAGCAAACAGG
rnacentral:rRNA from 1 species